CAAGUCGAACGAAACUUCUUUAUCACCGAGUGCUUGCACUCACCGAUAAACCGUUGAGUGGCGAACGGGUGAGUAACACGUGGGCAACCUGCCCAAAAGAGGGGGAUAACACUUGGAAACAGGUGCUAAUACCGCAUAACCAUAGUUACCGCAUGGUAACUAUGUAAAAGGUGGCUAUGCUACCGCUUUUGGAUGGGCCCGCGGCGCAUUAGCUAGUUGGUGGGGUAAAGGCUUACCAAGGCAAUGAUGCGUAGCCGAACUGAGAGGUUGAUCGGCCACAUUGGGACUGAGACACGGCCCAAACUCCUACGGGAGGCAGCAGUAGGGAAUCUUCCACAAUGGGCGAAAGCCUGAUGGAGCAACGCCGCGUGGGUGAAGAAGGUCUUCGGAUCGUAAAACCCUGUUGUUAGAGAAGAAAGUGCGUGAGAGUAACUGUUCACGUUUCGACGGUAUCUAACCAGAAAGCCACGGCUAACUACGUGCCAGCAGCCGCGGUAAUACGUAGGUGGCAAGCGUUAUCCGGAUUUAUUGGGCGUAAAGGGAACGCAGGCGGUCUUUUAAGUCUGAUGUGAAAGCCUUCGGCUUAACCGGAGUAGUGCAUUGGAAACUGGGAGACUUGAGUGCAGAAGAGGAGAGUGGAACUCCAUGUGUAGCGGUGAAAUGCGUAGAUAUAUGGAAGAACACCAGUGGCGAAAGCGGCUCUCUGGUCUGUAACUGACGCUGAGGUUCGAAAGCGUGGGUAGCAAACAGGAUUAGAUACCCUGGUAGUCCACGCCGUANACGAUGAAUGCUAAGUGUUGGAGGGUUNCCGCCCUUCAGUGCUGCAGCUAACGCAAUAAGCAUUCCGCCUGGGGAGUA
rnacentral:rRNA from 1 species